CACGUAGGGCGCAGGCGUUGUCCGGAAUUAUUGGGCGUAAAGAGCUCGUAGGCGGUCUGUUACGUCUGCUGUGAAAACCCAGGGCUUAACCCUGGGCUUGCAGUGGAUACGGGCAGACUAGAGGCAGGUAGGGGAGAAUGGAAUUCCCGGUGUAGCGGUGAAAUGCACAGAUAUCGGGAGGAACACCGGUGGCGAAGGCGGCAUCCUGGACCGAGAUUGACGCUGAGGCGCGAAAGCCAGGGGAGCAAACGGG
rnacentral:rRNA from 1 species